rnacentral:rRNA from 1 species
GAAUUUUGGACAAUGGGCGAAAGCCUGAUCCAGCAAUGCCGCGUGCAGGAUGAAGGCCUUCGGGUUGUAAACUGCUUUUGUACGGAACGCAAAGCUUUGGGUUAAUACCCUUGAGUCAUGCCGGUACCUUAAGAAUAAGUCCCGGCUCACUACGUGCCCGCCUCCGCGGUAAGACGUGGGGUGCAAGCGUUAAUCGGAAUUACUGGGCGUAAAGCGUGCGCAGGCGGUUUUGUAAGACAGAGGUGAAAUCCCCGGGAUCAACCUGGGAACUGCCUUUGUGACUGCAAGGCUAGAGGACGGCAGAGGGGGGUGGAAUUCCGCGUGUAGCAGUGAAAUGCGUAGAUAUGCGGAGGAACACCGAUGGCGAAGGCAACCCCCUGGGCCUGUACUGACGCUCAUGCACGAAAGCGUGGGGAGCAAACAGG